rnacentral:tRNA from 1 species
GCCCCCGUAGCUCAGCUGGAUAGAGCGCACCCCUCCUAAGGGUGAGGCCACACGUUCGAAUCGUGUCGGGGGCGCCA